CACAAAUUAGAUUUUGAUUUAAUCUUUUCCAUUUCUUUCCAGCUCCAAGUACAGCCCAGUAUGGAAUUACCGGGAGCGCUGACGUUCUUUUCUCCUGCUGGUACCUUGUGUUGACACUGUCCUCUUUCACCAGCAUAUUCUACCUGAAGAAUGCCAUUCUACAAUAAAUUUAAAGACCCAUAAAAGGCUUUUAAGGAUUCUCUGAAAGUGCUGAUGGCUGGAUCCAAUCUGGUACAGUUUGUUAAAAGCAGCGUGGGAUAUAAUCAGCAGUGCUUACAUGGGGAUGAUCGCCUUCUGUAGAAUUGCUCAUUAUGUAAAUACUUUAAUUCUACUCUUUUUUGAUUAGCUACAUUACCUUGUGAAGCAGUACACAUUGUCCUUUUUUUAAGAUGUGAAAGCUCUGAAAUUACUUUUAGAGGAUAUUAAUUGUGAUUUCAUGUUUGUAAUCUACAACUUUUCAAAAGCAUUCAGUCAUGGUCUGCUAGGUUGCAGGCUGUAGUUUACAAAAACGAAUAUUGCAGUGAACAUGUGAUUCUUUAAGGCUGCAAUACAAGUAUUCAGUUCCCUGUUUCAAUAAGAGUCAAUCUACAUUUACAAAGACACAUUUUUUUCCUUUUUUGAUAAAAAAGCAAAUAAUAUUGCCUUCAGAUCAUUUCUUCAAAAUAUAACACAUAUCUAGAUUUUUCUGCUCGCAUGAUAUUCAGGUUUCAGGAAUGAGCCUUGUAAUAUAACUGGCUGUGCAGCUCUGCUUCUCUUUCCUGUAAGUUCAGCAUGGGUGUGCCUUCAUGAAAUAUUUUUCUCUUUGUCUCCAACUAAUAUAAAACAUUUUGCUAAAUCCUACAAUUUGUAAGGAAAAAAAUAAACCACAAUGAUAAAGUUAAACUAUAUCCUAUCUCUAAAGAACAAAGGAGCUAUUGGAUUGUAUUCCUUCAUUAUCAGUGGGGUUUGAGAGUGUUGCCCCACAAUAACUCCGUUCUUGGGAUGAAAAACAAGUUAAUCACAUAGAAGAGUAAAUGUACCGUACGAUUUCUUUCGUUGAAGUUAAAUGUUAGAUCUACUGUGGGAAAUAAUUCCCUUUAAAAUGACAGCACAGUCCACUCAAGGGAUUGCUGAGCAAGACAGUAUCUUUUUUUCUUUCACUAUUUCAAGCUUAAAUUUUUAAGAUGGUUUGUCAGAGAGGACACAAAGUCCUAUCACCUAAUAUCACAUGAGUUGGUAAGCACUCAAAACUAAUUUGGUUUUGUGAUAGAUAAGUUAUUAUGACAGAAACAGUGCUCCUGCAGACAGGAGCAUUUUGCAUAUUUUCUAUCUAAAAACAUCACUCAGUUGAUAAUCUGGAAUGCAUGUUACAUUGAAAAAGUUCCAAAAUAUUUUAUAUCAAAUAUUCUAUAUUAGUAUACAGAAGAUCAAUCCCUGAAGUAAAUAACUCUUUAAUAAAAUCUUUCUUUAUAACCAUUUCAGUUCAAACAAGUGAAGCCAAAAAAUUACCAUGCUUUAUUUCUUCUUACAUGAUAUAUGUAAGAUGUGAUCAAAUGAAGACAGACACCAGUGAUGAGAAUAUCUUAAGAUGUAUUAAUUAUUCAAUUACUGUGAGUAUUCAUUUUUUUUCUACUUAAAGAAUGAAAACUACAUUUUUGAAGGAAAAUUCUGUGAGUCUAACUAUUAUAUUACAGGAAUAGGCUGAUGGUUUACUCUUUACCAAAGAAAGACCAUAGCCUUGAAAGCCAUGUUACAGGUCUGAUGAAGUUGCCAAUUUCAGCACACCUACAUUUCUACGGAUAGUCAUCUUUUACAAUCAUACCAACAACCCACAUCCAACUACUAAGAUUAGAUAUAAGAAAUUUUACAGAGGUCACACAUAUUUAAGAUAGCUAAUAUUUUGCCCUAGAAGUGAUGACUUGAAAAUUGUGAUUUUUUUUCCAAAUAAAAUUUAAAGACAAAGUAUGCCAUAAAUCUAUUUUAAUUAGAAAGAUGACUCAUAAAUUAGGAGGCAUAAAUAUAGUCUUCCCACAAAAUGGCAAUAAUAUGGCAUAAUGCUCUGAAAUUUACUAGCUGUAAUAAAUCUAUGAUGUUUUGACUGAUAUAUUAAAAUUGGCUUUAAAAUAUAGCAUUUAAAUGUAUUAUAUAUUUGUUUUUAAAAAUAUUCUUUGUGAAAUUGGCGAGUAAACUAAAAAUACUUUUUUUUUGUAUUGCAGCUUUAAAGUGGCACACUCCAUAAUAAUCUACUUACUAGAAAUAGUGGUGCUACCACAAAAGUGUUAACCAUCUGUACAUUGUUUGGGAGAAAGAAACAGAUCAAGAAUGCAUAUUAUACAGUGACCGUUUUCCUAGAGUUAAAAAUACCUCCUCUUUGUAAGGUUUGUAGGGUUAAUGUGAGGUAAAUUGAGGUAUAAACUAUGGAUGAACCAAAUAAUUAGUUCAAAGUGUUGUCAUGAUUCCGAAUUUGUGGAGUCUGGUGUUUUUCCCAUAGAAUGUGACAGAAGUACAGUCAUAGCUCAGUAGCUAUAUGUAUUUGCCUUUAUGUUAGAAGAGACUUUCUUGAGUGACAUUUUUAAAUAGAGGAGGUAUUCACUAUGUUUUUCUGUAUCACAGCAGCAUUCCCAGUCCUUAGCCCCUGGACAGAGUGAAAUCAUGAGUAUUUAUGAGUUCAAUAUUGUUCAAAUAAGGCUACAGUAUUUGCUUUUUUGUGUGAAUGUAUUGCAUAUAAUGUUCAAGUAGAUGAUUUUACAUUUAUGGACAUAUGAAAUGUCUUGAUUAUUCCAUUUUAUCAGUCCUGACUGUACAAGAUUGUUGCAAUUUCAGAAAAGCAGUUUUAUAAAAUUGAUUUAUCUUUCAAUCUAAAAUAAUUUCUUAAGCUAUUCCUUUCAGCAUUGUGUUUUCCACAGGUUUCAUUUGUGGGAUUCCUUUUGUUGCCCCAAAAUUUUUGUCCAAGAAAGAAGAAAAGAAAAUAAAGAGCAGUUGAGAAAAAAAGAUAAAGACAGAAAAGGAGGUGAAGACAAAGGAAAUAGAAGAAAGGAAGAACAGAAAGAGGGAAAAAGAGGAAAGGAUGAAAGAUAGGAGAAAGGACGAAUGAGAGGGAGGCAAGAAGCAGAACGUUAGGGUAGUUAGCUUUUUCAUUUGCAUUCUCGGUUUAAAUGCAAGUGGUGUAAUGUGUUUUACAAUUAUCUCAUUCAACACGUAAGUCCUGUUACACCAUUAAGUUUCUAUUAUGCAGCAAUUAUAUAAUGAAAAGUACUGCCCAAGUUAUAGCAUUGUGUGAUUUUUUUGAGACACUAAGAUUUGAGAGAGAGAAUUUCAAACAUAAAGUCACUUUUGGGGGAUUUAUAACUUCACUGAAAAUUAAUGCUUCAUCAUAACAUUUAAGCUAUAUCUAGAAAGUAGACUGGAGAACUAAGAAUAUUACCCAGAUAAUUCAGAACAAAAAUAUAUAGAUAUAUAUAUAUAUAAAUACCCCUAUGUGUGAAGUCAGAAAACUCUGAAAAGCUGAAUUAUCAAAGCCAAUCAUCUAUAUUGAUCAAAUUACUGAUAAAUUGUUAAUUUAUCCAUUGUAUUUAGCUUUGUGACACAGCCAAAAGUUACCUAUUUAAUCUUUUCAAUAAAAGUUGUUUUUUGAAAUCCAGAAAUGAUUUAAAAAGAGGUCAGGUUUUUAACUAUUUAUUGAAGUAUGUGGAUGUACAGUAUUUCAAUAGAUAUGAAUAUGAAUAAAUGGUAUGCCUUAAGAUUCUUUGAAUAUGUAUUUACUUUAAAGACUGGAAAAAAAUCUCUUCCUGUCUUUUAGUAAAACAUCCAUAUUUCAUAAUCUGAUGUAAAAUGUUGUACUGUUUCCAAUAGGUGAAUAUAAAGUCAGUUUAUCAAUUAAAUA
rnacentral:lncRNA from 1 species